UCCAUCUUCAUUAGUAACUAUAAACGUCAGA
rnacentral:piRNA from 4 species